AUACCCGCUGAACUUAAGCAUAUCAAUAAGCGGAGGAAAAGAAACCAACCGGGAUUACCUCAGUAACGGC
rnacentral:rRNA from 1 species